rnacentral:rRNA from 1 species
AGUGAACGCUGGCGGUAGGCCUAACACAUGCAAGUCGAACGGCAGCACAGUAAGAGCUUGCUCUUACGGGUGGCGAGUGGCGGACGGGUGAGGAAUACAUCGGAAUCUACUUUUUCGUGGGGGAUAACGUAGGGAAACUUACGCUAAUACCGCAUACGACCUACGGGUGAAAGCAGGGGAUCUUCGGACCUUGCGCGAUUGAAUGAGCCGCUGUCGGAUUAGCUAGUUGGCGGGGUAAAGGCCCACCAAGGCGACGAUCCGUAGCUGGUCUGAGAGGAUGAUCAGCCACACUGGAGCUGAGACACGGUCCAGACUCCUGCGAGAGGCAGCAGUGGGGAAUAUUGGACAGUGGGCGCAAGCCUGAUCCAGCCAUACCGCGUGGGUGAAGAAGGCCUUCGGGUUGUAAAGACCUUUUGUUGGGAAAGAAAAGCAGCAGGUUAAUACCCCGCUGUUCUGACGGUACCCAAAGAAUAAGCACCGGCUAACUUCGUG